GAUGAACGCUGGCGGCGUGCCUAACACAUGCAAGUCGAGCGAUCUUCUUCGGAAGAGAGCGGCGGACGGGUGAGUAACGCGUGGGUAACCUGCCCUGUACACACGGAUAACAUACCGAAAGGUAUGCUAAUACGAGAUAAUAUACUUUUAUCGCAUGGUAGAAGUAUCAAAGCUCCGGCGGUACAGGAUGGACCCGCGUCUGAUUAGCUAGUUGGUAAGGUAACGGCUUACCAAGGCGACGAUCAGUAGCCGACCUGAGAGGGUGAUCGGCCACAUUGGAACUGAGACACGGUCCAAACUCCUACGGGAGGCAGCAGUGGGGAAUAUUGCACAAUGGGCGAAAGACCUGAUGCAGCAACGCCGCGUGAGGGGAUGAAGGGCUUUUUGCUCGUAAACCUCUGUAGUGAGGGGAAAAAAUUUACCACUCUGUGGAAU
rnacentral:rRNA from 1 species